UACACAGAGAUUAGAUGAAGUAAUAUGAAAUCAGUCUGUGAUGUGUCUGUCUUCAAAAGAAAAGAUACGCCAUCUAAUCUCGAUGUAAGCUCUUAAUGUACCACAAAAAGCAAAUAAAUCCAAUGUCAUUCUUGAUUAAAUAAUCACCUUUUCAGGGCAAAGCCAAGAAGUGAUUUUCCCCCCUCCCUGCCACGGGAACUGUGACCUAAUUCUCAUUCCUAAUCACAGAAUCAAAGGAGAAAUUUAUUUCAAUGAGCUAGUCUGAAAGAGCUAUUUGCCAAAUGGCUUUCUUUCCAAUACUUAAUGAAAAGAUGCAUUUUGUACUACUUUCAAAAAGUGAUAUGGACAGGAGACGGAAAUACUGGGUAGAAAAGGGCAGUUCCCUGGCAAAGCCUCACCCUCAAGCCUGGAUACCUGCUGUCUUAAACGAAAACGAAAACAGGCAUUUCUGUGUUCAUGCUCCAAAAGUUAUCUUUUGGCCUGCCACACCCCCUAUCCUGCACCCAUAUGAAUCCCGAACCCCAGACUCCAGAAGCAGACCAGCAAGCCCGCAGACCAGCAGAAGGAUGGCAGAACGAUGUGGCAGAGAAAGGGAGAAGAGGAGGAACAUCUGAAUGCCAAAAUGAGUUCAGCUGGGGGCAGUCAGAGAGGAGUCCAGCCACUGGGCAGCCAGAAUCCAGGGGAGGAUCACCUUUCCACUUCAUCCCCUUCCUCUGCCUCCCCAUCCAUCCUGCUGAAAGCCACCUCCACCACUCAAUAAAACCUGCCAUUCAUCCUUGGA
rnacentral:lncRNA from 1 species